rnacentral:misc_RNA from 1 species
UCCGAAACUAUAACAGCUACAAACUUGAAAUUUGGCAGGUAGGUUCCUUAUAGGGCUUAGACAUCCGCUAAGAACUGAUUUUACGAAAAUCGACCCGUAAUAAAGCGGGGGUCGGAAGUUUGUAUGAAAGUCUUAUGUUUUUGAAGUAAGAGACUUGAAAUUUAAAAUGUAUGCUCUAUAGACGGUGAGGAGGUGUCCAAAUAAUGCAUCGUAAUCUAUAUAUAUAAAAGAGAAAGGUCACUGACUCACUCAUCACGAG